GAUGAACGCUGGCGGCGUGCCUAAUACAUGCAAGUCGAGCGAACAGACGAGGAUCUUGCUCCUCUGACGUUAGCGGCGGACGGGUGAGUAACACGUGGAUAACCUACCUAUAAGACUGGGCUAACUUCGGGAAACCGGAGCUAAUACCGGAUAAUAUAUUGAACCGCAUGGUUCAAUAGUGAAAGACGGUUUUGCUGUCACUUAUAGAUGGAUCCGCUCCGCAUUAGCUAGUUGGUAAGGUAACGGCUUACCAAGGCAACGAUGCGUAGCCGACCUGAGAGGGUGAUCGGCCACACUGGAACUGAGACACGGUCCAGACUCCUACGGGAGGCAGCAGUAGGGAAUCUUCCGCAAUGGGCGAAAGCUUGACGGAGCAACGCCGCGUGAGUGAUGAAGGUCUUCGGAUCGUAAAACUCUGUUAUUAGGGAAGAACAAAUGUGUAAGUAACUAUGCACGUCUUGACGGUACCUAAUCAGAAAGCCACGGCUAACUACGUG
rnacentral:rRNA from 1 species